CAUGGCGGUCCCAGCUCGUGUCGUGAGAUGUUGGGUUAAGUCCCGUAACGAGCGCAACCCUUGUCCUUAGUUACCAGCACGUUAUGGUGGGCACUCUAAGGAGACUGCCGGUGACAAACCGGAGGAAGGUGGGGAUGACGUCAAGUCAUCAUGGCCCUUACGGCCAGGGCUACACACGUGCUACAAUGGUCGGUACAAAGGGUUGCCAAGCCGCGAGGUGGAGCUAAUCCCAUAAAACCGAUCGUAGUCCGGAUCGCAGUCUGCAACUCGACUGCGUGAAGUCGGAAUCGCUAGUAAUCGUGAAUCAGAAUGUCACGGUGAAUACGUUCCCGGGCCUUGUACACACCGCCCGUCACACCAUGGGAGUGGGUUGCUCCAGAAGUAGCUAGUCUAACCGCAAGGGGGACGGUUACUCU
rnacentral:rRNA from 1 species